rnacentral:rRNA from 1 species
AGAGUUUGAUCCUGGCUCAGGACGAACGCUGGCGGCGUGCCUAACACAUGCAAGUCGAGCGAAGUUUUUAAAGUGGAUUCUUUCGGGAUGAAACUUUAAAUGUCUUAGCGGCGGGUGAGUAACGCGUGAGAAACCUGCCUUUCACAAAGGGAUAGCCUCGGGAAACUGGGAUUAAUACCUUAUGAUACUUCUUUAUCGCAUGGUAGAGAAGUUAAAGCGCAAAGCGGUGAAAGAUGGUCUCGCGUCCCAUUAGUUAGUUGGUGAGGUAACGGCUCACCAAGACUUCGAUGGGUAGCCGGCCUGAGAGGGUGAACGGCCACACUGGAACUGAGACACGGUCCAGACUCCUACGGGAGGCAGCAGUGGGGAAUAUUGCACAAUGGAGGAAACUCUGAUGCAGCGACGCCGCGUGAAUGAUGAAGGCCUUCGGGUCGUAAAAUUCUGUCCUAGGGGACGAUAAUGACGGUACCCUAGGAGGAAGCCCCGGCUAACUACGUGCCAGCAGCCGCGGUAAUACGUAGGGGGCGAGCGUUGUCCGGAAUUAUUGGGCGUAAAGGGUUCGCAGGCGGUCUUUUAAGUCAGAUGUGAAAGGCUACGGCUCAACCGUGGUAAGCAUUUGAAACUGAAAGACUUGAGUUAAGGAGAGGAAAGUGGAAUUCCUAGUGUAGCGGUGAAAUGCGUAGAUAUUAGGAGGAAUACCAGUGGCGAAGGCGACUUUCUGGACUUAUACUGACGCUGAGGAACGAAAGCGUGGGGAGCAAACAGGAUUAGAUACCCUGGUAGUCCACGCCGUAAACGAUGAGUGCUAGGUGUUGGAGGGUUUCGUUCUCUGUGCCGUAGCUAACGCAAUAAGUAUCCCACCUGGGGAGUACGACCGCAAGGUUGAAACUCAAAGGAAUUGACGGGGACCCGCACAAGCAGCGGAGCAUGUGGUUUAAUUCGAAGCAACGCGAAGAACCUUACCAGGGCUUGACAUGCCACUGACCGGUCCGUAACACGGGACCUUUCCUUCGGGAGAGAGGAGACAGGUGGUGCAUGGUUGUCGUUAGCUCGUGUCGUGAGAUGUUGGGUUAAGUCCCGCAACGAGCGCAACCCUUAUCUUUAGUAGCCAGCACAUUAAGUUGGGCACUCUAGAGGGACUGCCGAUGAUAAAUCGGAGGAAGGUGGGGAUGACGUCAAAUCAUCAUGCCCCUUAUAUCUUGGGCUACACACGUGCUACAAUGGUCGGUACAAAGGGCAGCGAACUAGUGAUAGGACGCUAAUCUCUAAAAGCCGAUCCCAGUUCGGAUUGUAGGCUGCAACUCGCCUACAUGAAGUUGGAGUUGCUAGUAAUCGCGAAUCAGAACGUCGCGGUGAAUGCGUUCCCGGGUCUUGUACACACCGCCCGUCACACCAUGGGAGUAGCCAAUACCCGAAGCCAGUGAGCUAACCGUAAGGAGGCAGCUGUCGAAGGUAGGGUCAAUGACUGGGGUGAAGUCGUAACAAGGUAACC